AAGCACUUAAGUUUGACUCUUCGGAUGAAAACUUUUGUGACUGAGCGGCGGACGGGUGAGUAACGCGUGGGUAACCUGCCUCAUACAGGGGGAUAACAGUUAGAAAUGACUGCUAAUACCGCAUAAGACCACGGUACCGCAUGGUACAGUGGUAAAAACUCCGGUGGUAUGAGAUGGACCCGCGUCUGAUUAGGUAGUUGGUGGGGUAAUGGCCUACCAAGGCGGCGACGGGUAGCCGGCCUGAGAGGGUGGACGGCCACAUUGGGACUGAGACACGGCCCAGACUCC
rnacentral:rRNA from 1 species